rnacentral:lncRNA from 1 species
UUGUACAAAUAAUUAAUCACCAAGCGAAUUUAUUGAAACAUACAACCCCACGGCUGCUUAAACCAUUACUAACAUUAGAACAGUACGGGCUGUCUUCUUUCAUGCGUACAAAUUGUAACUAGAAUUGUGUUACACUUCUCAAUACAAGCUUCCGAUCUUAGAUAAACAUCUCUUUUGACAUGGAUGUGUAGCUUGAUUAAGUAAAGUGAAACUUCGACCCACCUUAUAAUAUGCCACUUUUUCCACCAAUCUACUCAAAUACCAUUGCCUUGUUCUUCCCGGGACCAUUUUUGAGUUUAACGGCUAUGAUGCACUGCACUGGCACUUCAGGGAAAUCUCUACUCAUAGAGUAACUUGGUGGCAGGACAAACGAGCUAGUCUGAAGUAAAGGAGCAGCGGUAUACAAUAUGACCAAGCCAUGCAACUGUAUCAGUGUGAUUAUGCAGGAAGGAGCAAGGUGGACGAAGGUGCGCCACAUCUUGAGGCCGAGUCAUUCCCCGCGAGUGAAUGCAAAGUUAUUCAUUCUCUAAAGAAGCCUAGAUUGCAGACCCUCUAGAUCUGACUAAGUGGGUGGUCGGUCCAUGAGAGGCACGCAUGCAAGCAACUACAUAUGGGUGAUGUGGCACGAGCUAGCCCUUUCCUGAUGCCUACAAUUCCAAUAAAUUGUAAUGCAUUUUAUUGAGAGUUGUUGCCAUCCUAUCUACGGUUACAUCCAUCUUGGUACACACGGACCGACACUUUCUCCAGUUAUAUCUAUUCUAGUGACCUUUCAACAACAAGUCUCACUGAAGUAUGUAUAUAUACUACUCCAGUAGACGCUUGUAUGCACCUGAUAUAUGUUAAAUCUAGUGGUGGU